GAAGCCGUCGAGAGAUAUCGGAAGAGUUUUCUUUUCUGUUCAUAGCCGUACUACCAUGGAAGUCUUUCGCAGAGAGAUAUGGUAGAUGGGCUAGAAGAGCAUGACAUAUACUGUUGUGUCGAUAUUUUCUCCUCGGACCUUGAAAAUUUAUGGUGGGGACACGCAAACUUCUCAACAGGCCGUACCAAUAUCCGCAGCUGGUCUCCAAGGUGAAGAGUCUCUAGUCGAUAGAAUAAUGUAGGUAAGGGAAGUCGGCAAAUUAGAUCCGUAACUUCGGGAUAAGGAUUGGCUCUGAAGAUUGAGAUAGUCGGGCUUGAUUGGGAAACAAUAACAUGGUUUAUGUGCUCGUUCUGGGUAAAUAGAGUUUCUAGCAUUUAUGUUAGUUACUUGUUCCCCGGAUAGUUUAGUUACGUAGCCAAUUGUGGAACUUUCUUGCUAAAAUUUUUAAGAAUACUAUUUGGGUUAAACCAAUUAGUUCUUAUCAAUUAUAACGAUUAUCAAUUAACAAUCAAUUCAGAACUGGCACGGACUUGGGGAAUCCGACUGUCUAAUUAAAACAAAGCAUUGUGAUGGCCCUAGCGGGUGUUGACACAAUGUGAUUUCUGCCCAGUGCUCUGAAUGUCAAAGUGAAGAAAUUCAAGUAAGCGCGGGUCAACGGCGGGAGUAACUAUGACUCUCUUAAGGUAGCCAAAUGCCUCGUCAUCUAAUUAGUUUUUUUUUUUUUUUUUUUUCUUUAGCGUGCGUUUAUUUAUUUAAAAUCUGUCCUAGUGGACAAUAAUUAAAUGGUUUUGCGGGGGAACAUUAGCUUAAGGGAUACUAUUGUACAUGUAUUUGUGGCGGGUUUUAUAUGUGUUGUCUAUUGUUGUGGAAGAUCGAGAGGGUGUCUCCUCAUGAGACGUCUGCUUGUUUGGCUAUUGUCUAACAGGUUGGUAUCUAAUUAGUGACGCGCAUGAAUGGAUUAACGAGAUUCCUACUGUCCCUAUCUACUAUCUAGCGAAACCACAGCCAAGGGAACGGGCUUGGAAUAAUUAGCGGGGAAAGAAGACCCUUUUGAGCUUGACUCUAAUCUGGCAGUGUAAGGAGACAUAAGAGGUGUAGAAUAAGUGGGAGAUAUUAGACCUCGGUUUGGUAUCGUCAAUGAAAUACCACUACUCUUAUUGUUUCCUUACUUACUUGAUUAAAUGGAACGUGUAUCAUUUCCUAGCCAUUAUACGGAUAUAUUUAUUAUAUCUUAUGGUAUUGGGUUUUGAUGCAAGCUUCUUGAUCAAAGUAUCACGAGUUUGUUAUAUAAUCGCAAACAAAUUCUUUAAUAAAACGAUGCAUUUAUGUAUUUUUGAUUUGAAAAUUUGGUAUAACUCCAAUUACUCAGGUAUGAUCCAAUUCAAGGACAUUGCCAGGUAGGGAGUUUGACUGGGGCGGUACAUCUCUCAAAUAAUAACGGAGGUGUCCCAAGGCCAGCUCAGUGCGGACAGAAACCACACAUAGAGCAAAGAA
rnacentral:ncRNA from 1 species